GUCGAACGGUUUUUUCUAUGGAAGCUUGCUUCCACUGGGAAGAUAGUGGCGGACGGGUGAGUAACACGUGGGUAACCUGCCCAUAAGAGGGGGAUAACAUCCGGAAACGGGUGCUAAUACCGCAUAGUUUUCUUGAUCGCAUGAUCGAGAAAGGAAAGACGGCCUUUGUGCUGUCGCUUAUGGGUGGACCCGCGGCGUAUUAGUUAGUUGGUGAGGUAACGGCUCACCAAGACGAUGAUACGUAGCCGACCUGAGAGGGUGAUCGGCCACAUUGGGACUGAGACACGGCCCAAACUCCUACGGGAGGCAGCAGUAGGGAAUCUUCCGCAAUGGACGAAAGUCUGACGGAGCAACGCCGCGUGAGUGAAGAAGGUUUUCGGAUCGUAAAACUCUGUUGUCAGAGAAGAACAAGUCGGAGAGUAACUGCUCCGGCCUUGACGGUAUCUGACCAGAAAGCCACGGCUAACUACGUGCCAGCAGCCGCGGUAAUACGUAGGUGGCAAGCGUUGUCCGGAUUUAUUGGGCGUAAAGCGAGCGCAGGCGGUUCCUUAAGUCUGAUGUGAAAGCCCACGGCUCAACCGUGGAAGGUCAUUGGAAACUGGGGAACUUGAGUGCAGAAGAGGAGAGUGGAAUUCCAUGUGUAGCGGUG
rnacentral:rRNA from 1 species